UCGUGCCUACGGGAGGCAGCAGUGAGGAAUAUUGGUCAAUGGGCGAGAGCCUGAACCAGCCAAGUCGCGUGAGGGAAGACGGUCCUAUGGAUUGUAAACCUCUUUUGCCGGGGAGCAAAAAGCGGUACGUGUACCGCAUCGAGAGUACCCGGAGAAAAAGCAUCGGCUAACUCCGUGCCAGCAGCCGCGGUAAUACGGAGGAUGCGCGCGUUAUCCGGAUUUAUUGGGUUUCAAGGGUGCGCAGUCGGCGAGUUAAGUCAGCGGUAAAAUUUCGGGGCUCCACCCCGACGAGCCGUUGUAACUGG
rnacentral:rRNA from 1 species